UCCAGACUCCUACGGGAGGCAGCAGUGAGGAAUAUUGGUCAAUGGGCGGAAGCCUGAACCAGCCAAGUCGCGUGAGGGAAUAAGGCCCUACGGGUCGUAAACCUCUUUUGCCGGGGAGCAACGGGCGCCACGUGUGGCGCCACUGAGAGUACCCGGAGAAAAAGCAUCGGCUAACUCCGUGCCAGCAGCCGCGGUAAUACGGAGGAUGCGAGCGUUAUCCGGAUUUAUUGGGUUUAAAGGGUGCGCAGGCGGAAUGUCAAGUCAGCGGUAAAAUUUCGGGGCUCAACCCCGUCGUGCCGUUGAAACUGGCGUUCUUGAGUGAGCGAGAAGUAUGCGGAAUGCGUGGUGUAGCGGUGAAAUGCAUAGAUAUCACGCAGAACUCCGAUUGCGAAGGCAGCAUACCGGCGGCGAUCUGACGCUGAGGCACGAAAGCGUGGGUAUCGAACAGGAUUAGAUACCCCGGUAU
rnacentral:rRNA from 1 species